GACGAACGCUGGCGGCGUGCUUAACACAUGCAAGUCGAGCGGUAAGGCCCUUUCGGGGGUACACGAGCGGCGAACGGGUGAGUAACACGUGGGUGACCUGCCCUCAGCUCUGGGAUAAGCCUGGGAAACCGGGUCUAAUACUGGAUAUGACUCCAUGACGCAUGUUGUGGGGUGGAAAGCCUUGUGCGGCUGAGGAUGGGCCCGCGGCCUAUCAGCUUGUUGGUGGGGUGANGGCCUACCAAGGCGACGACGGGUAGCCGGCCUGAGAGGGCGACCGGCCACACUGGGACUGAGACACGGCCCAGACUCCUACGGGAGGCAGCAGUGGGGAAUCUUGCGCAAUGGGCGAAGCCUGACGCAGCGACGCCGCGUGAGGGAUGACGGCCUCGG
rnacentral:rRNA from 1 species